rnacentral:rRNA from 1 species
GACGAACGCUGGCGGCGUGCUUAACACAUGCAAGUCGAACGGAAAGGCCCUGCUUUUGUGGGGUGCUCGAGUGGCGAACGGGUGAGUAACACGUGAGUAACCUGCCCUUGACUUUGGGAUAACUUCAGGAAACUGGGGCUAAUACCGGAUAGGAGCUCCUGCUGCAUGGUGGGGGUUGGAAAGUUUCGGCGGUUGGGGAUGGACUCGCGGCUUAUCAGCUUGUUGGUGGGGUAGUGGCUUACCAAGGCUUUGACGGGUAGCCGGCCUGAGAGGGUGACCGGCCACACGGGAACGGCGAGACGGUCCAGGCGCCUACGCGGGGCAGCGGCAGGGAACCUGGCGCCACGGGCGAAAGCGUGGCGGGGCAGCGCCGCGCGAGUGAGGAAGGCCCUCGGGGCGUGAAACGUUGGUAGUGGUGAAGAACAAAGGUGUAAGGACCGAUGCCCGUCUUGACGGGACCUAAUCAGAAAGCCACGGCUAACUACGUG